rnacentral:rRNA from 1 species
CCGGCGCACGGGUGAGUAACACGUAUCCAACCUGCCGUCUACUCUUGGACAGCCUUCUGAAAGGAAGAUUAAUACAAGAUGGCAUCAUGGGUCCACAUGUUCACAUGAUUAAAGGUAUUCCGGUAGACGAUGGGGAUGCGUUCCAUUAGGCAGUUGGUGGGGUAACGGCCCACCAAACCUUCGAUGGAUAGGGGUUCUGAGAGGAAGGUCCCCCACAUUGGAACUGAGACACGGUCCAA